GACGAACGCUGGCGGCGUGCCUAAUACAUGCAAGUCGAGCGCAGGAAGCCGACGGAACCCUUCGGGGGGAAGUCGACGGAAUGAGCGGCGGACGGGUGAGUAACACGUAAAGAACCUGCCCUCAGGUCUGGGAUAACCACGAGAAAUCGGGGCUAAUACCGGAUGGGUCAUCGGACCGCAUGGUCCGAGGAUGAAAGGCGCUUCGGCGUCGCCCGGGGAUGGCUUUGCGGUGCAUUAGCUAGUUGGUGGGGUAAUGGCCCACCAAGGCGACGAUGCAUAGCCGACCUGAGAGGGUGAUCGGCCACACUGGGACUGAGACACGGCCCAGACUCCUACGGGAGGCAGCAGUAGGGAAUCUUCCACAAUGGACGAAAGUCUGAUGGAGCAACGCCGCGUGAACGAUGAAGGCCUUCGGGUCGUAAAGUUCUGUUGUAAGGGAAGAACAAGUGCCGCAGGCAAUGGCGGCACCUUGACGGUACCUUGCGAGAAAGCCACGGCUAACCACGUGCCAGCCGCCGCAGUAACAC
rnacentral:rRNA from 1 species